rnacentral:misc_RNA from 1 species
UUGUCAGUAACACCAGUUAUCCACUUUGCAUGUACAGCACCAUAACCUUUAGCCAUAUUCCUAGGCCUUUUGAUACGGCCUGUAAUUUGUAGCUGAUAGUGUAGCUAUGCCUUUUCUUCGACUCCAUUCUGUUAGGGUAUUUUGGUUGAACAGUCAUGGAAGAGCACUAUGCUACCCCGAGAAGGUUUGUGUUCAGACUGGUGAAGUCGGUUGGCUGCAGGCUACUCCGUGCAGUUGCGCAUAUGGUUUGUCAGUGUUCGGUCUGUACUACCAAAAUAAAAAACAAAAAUGGCUGCCAAGUGGGUAGACCGUUGUUCCGUUGUUUGUUGAGCAUUAGCCGCUGGCAAACACGGAGGAAUAUAUCGAUGGUCAGUCAACUGGCAGUUUAGGAGAAGUGCUCAUCCGCUGUAACAACGUUUUGUAUAUCCGCGGAGUGGAUGAUGAUGACGAAGAAGGAGGCCAAAUGAAGG